rnacentral:rRNA from 1 species
UACGGGGGGAGCAAGCGUUGUUCGGAUUUACUGGGCGUAAAGGGCGCGUAGGCGGCCACCGCGAGUCGACUGUGAAAUCUCCGGGCUUAACCCGGAAAGGUCAGCCGAUACUGCGGGGCUAGAGUGCAGAAGGGGCAACUGGAAUUCUCGGUGUAGCGGUGAAAUGCGUAGAUAUCGAGAGGAACACCUGCGGCGAAGGCGGGUUGCUGGGCUGACACUGACGCUGAGGCGCGAAAGCUAGAGGAGCGAACGGG